UCUGCAUGUUUCUUCAAGGCCUCAAAUUAAAAGCCUGUUAUUUUAAUCUGCCAAUUCCUUGACUUUAUUUCCACAAACAGCCUCAGACACUUUGACUUAAAAUCAUUUUUGCCUCCACAAUUUGCCCUUUAUUUUGACA